rnacentral:rRNA from 1 species
AGCAGUGGGGAAUAUUGCACAAUGGGCGCAAGCCUGAUGCAGCAACGCCGCGUGAGGGACGAAGGCCUUCGGGUUGUAAACCUCUUUUAGUAGGGAAGAAGCGACUGGGUUUUCCUGGGAGUGACGGUACCUGCAGAAAAAGCACCGGCUAACUACGUGCCAGCAGCCGCGGUAAUACGUAGGGUGCAGCGUUGUCCGGAAUUAUUGGGCGUAAAGAGCUCGUAGGCGGUUUGUCGCGUCUGCUGUGAAAACCCGAGGCUCAACCUCGGGCCUGCAGUGGGUACGGGCAGACUAGAGUGCGGUAGGGGAGAUUGGAAUUCCUGGUGUAGCGGUGGAAUGCGCAGAUAUCAGGAGGAACACCAAUGGCGAGGGCAGAUCUCUGGGCCGUAACUGACGCUGAGGAGCGAAAGCAUGGGGAGCGAACAGGAUUAGAUACCCUGGUAGUCCAUGCCGUAAACGUUGGGAACUAGAUGUGGGGACCAUUCCACGGUCUCCGUGUCGCAGCUAACGCAUUAAGUUCCCCGCCUGGGGAGUACGGCCGCAAGGUUAAAACUCAAAGGAAUUGACGGGGGCCCGCACAAGCGGCGGAGCAUGCGGAUUAAUUCGAUGCAACGCGAAGAACCUUACCAAGGCUUGACAUAUACCGGAAACGGCUGGAAACAGUCGCCCCGCAAGGUCGGUAUACAGGUGGUGCAUGGUUGUCGUCAGCUCGUGUCGUGAGAUGUUGGGUUAAGUCCCGCAACGAGCGCAACCCUCGUCCUAUGUUGCCAGCACGUAAUGGUGGGAACUCAUGGGAUACUGCCGGGGUCAACUCGGAGGAAGGUGGGGAUGACGUCAAAUCAUCAUGCCCCUUAUGUCUUGGGCCUCACGCAUGCUACAAUGGCCGGUACAAAGGGCUGCGAUACCGCAAGGCGGAGCGAAUCCCAAAAAGCCGGUCUCAGCUCGGAUUGAGGUCUGCAACUCGACCUCAUGAAGUCGGAGUCGCUAGUAAUCGCAGAUCAGCAACGCUGCGGUGAAUACGUUCCCGGGCCUUGUACACACCGCC